rnacentral:lncRNA from 1 species
AAAUAGCUAUUCUUGUUGAAGAGAACACGUAAAAGGUAACUAGUUAAAAUAAAAAGUGAAAUUUUGAAUAGCUUUUUUACCUAGCAUUGCUGCAGAUGCUAGGACAAAACGAUUUUGCUGGGUGGUGAUUAAUACAUAUUUUUAGGAAUAUUUAUAUAAUUAUUUUUUAAUUUUAUUUUUUUGUAAAACCAAAUAAAAAUAAAUCAAUUUUUUUAAAAAUCUUUCUUUAAUUACUUUAUCUAUUUUUUCUUCUUCUUUUUCCUAGUUCCAAACUUAGCCUAAUCAAUUUAACCCACUUCCACACGAGUUUGGAUCCUCUGAAGUGUGAUCCACCUAAACGAUGUCGUUUUUAAAAUGAUAUUUUUUUGUAUUUAAAGUGUACAAAAUAACGUCAUUUUGUACACUCGAAAAACACUUUAUACGGAACACACUAUCCGAAUCCCCUCCACCCACGCCCUUUGAAGGGCUUCAAUGGCCAAUAUUGUAGAGGACAACUUGGCUUUCCAAAAAGAAAAAAGAAAAAAGAAAAAAAAAUGGGUUUCAACUUUCAACUUUCAACUCACUAUUUGAAGCAUAUUAUACCCAGAAAAAAGAAAGAAAGAAUAGGGCAUAAAAAAGUCCUAAAUUUAGUGGCUACCCUACCGCCCAGCUGAUCACUAGAUUUCAGCCUUUGACGCUCACAUACGUCUAAUCAGGGUAGAUUCGGAAUCCAACGGCUGUCACUGACAGCUAAUUCUGAUUGGAAACUAGGCCCCACGCAACAUUAAUGUCAUUUCCCUCGAGCACCCAAAUUCGUUGAGAAUUUGAAGGUAUAUGAGGGGAGCUUUUAAAUGCAAACCAAUUUUAUCUCAGGACACCCCCAAAACAUACGUAUUUUAAAUUACAGUUUUACCCCCGACCAAAAUUGCCUAUCGUGAUAUAAAUAAAACCCAAAUCGAGAUUUCUCUCCACACACACCAUGGCUCUCCCAUCACCUCUACCCCUGCCACCUACCCCAGCCAUUAUAAUUUUUUGUGAUUAUUGUUAUGAGAUGCUUUAUUAUGAAUUCUAUUAGUAUGUUUGGUAAAAUUUAUAAAUAUUUAUGGUUUGUUUGUAAAUUUUUAUAGAUAUAAUCAUAAAUAUUUUAUGAAAAUUCGUGACUAUGUUAUGAAUCAAAAUUUAAUUUUAUGAGAAUUUGUGAUUAAAUUAUAUUUUAAUCUAGUUUGCCUGUAAAAUAACUGAUUUGACCAGUAAAAACUGAUAACGUAAUACAAUCUCAACAACAAAAUAAGUACAAAUAGAGUGUGAUGUGUAUUGUUACAUUUCUUAUUAAUAUAACCAAGAAAUACGAUAUAAAUGUGAGCAAAUUAUCAAGAAUUCUACUAUUCUAAACUAGUCCCAUCAUCAGAUAUGUAGAAACAGAGGGUUACCAAAUUUUAGCACAAGGUUGGGAAAUGCUAAUGACACAAUUGACAAAUUUUAGCAAAGCAAAAGAAAAUGUAUACACAUUACUCCAAACAUGCACUUUAUUUUUCCAAGGACUAAAUAAGCAAAAUUGACACGUUAGGAAUCAAAAGUGUAAUGGAUAAACGUACUUUGAAGACAAUUAGAGUAAUUUUAGUACUAUAAAAAAUACUCCAUAUGAAAUGUUUCUUUCCCACACGUGAUAUAGGACUCCAUUAUCAAUCUUCUUAGCUAAUACAUAUAUGAUUUAUAUAUACAUAUAUAACAUGAUUUAACAAUGAUAAAGUAAGCUAUAUAUCAGAAGGGUUUUGCUAUUGAAAAUUCACUGGGCUUCCAAUAAGAAGCACAAAAUGACAAAAAAAAAUAAUUUUCGAUACACUUUUCAUACUUUUCAAUACACUUUCACAUAUUCUUAUACACUUUUUAUAUUUUUUUAUACACUUUUCAUAUAUUCUCAUAUCUUAAACAAAGCUCACUGGGCUUCUUUUAGCAUUUCCCAUAUCAGAAAGACCUAAAACCCAGAGGUUGGCAACCUCAUUAGGGCAUCUAUGAAGAAAAACAAAAGAAAGAAGGUAAUUGUAGUUUAUUGCUACCUACAAAUUCCUUGUUAUAAAGGGCCCAUUUGGCAAAGCCCAAAAGCCGAAGUUACAAUCCCAAAUCAGAAUUGUCAAAGUUGCAAAUCAGCAGGAAGAAUCCAGAACCUUUUGUUCUCCACUUGCUUUAACUUUUUCCUUCCUUUUCCAUCAAUUGGUUCACACACUUGUUUUAGUUCUGCUUGAGUGAUAAAACAGUUGUUUCCAAAUCUCUUGCAUCAAGUUCUGAUCUGACAAUCAACCAAAUGCUGAGGCUUGUGCUACAAAAUCUCCUUGUGUGGAGAAAUACUGGAGCGGAAUCAAGCACUUUGAAAUUUAUUUACCAAACUUAAGUACUUUUUGUUAAGUUAUGGAAUAAAAACAUGACUUUAAAUUUGAAGUUGUGUUUUAAAAACAUAAUUUUAAAACAAAUUUUCUAUUGAAGUCACACGUUCAUCCUACGAGUUUACAUAAAGUAAUGUUUUCAUCCCCGGCUCCCAAAAAACUACUUGACUUGAUAAAAAAGUUUUUGAAUAAAUACAUUUUUCUCCCUUAAAGUAUUAACCUAUUCCCACUUUUGCCCUUGAACAAAUAAUUUUCCUACUUUGACCCUUAACUUAUUACAUUGGUUGCAAUUAGGACAACCACUAACUUCCGUUCAAUUUUCUAACCACAAAUCCCAACCAUCACCACCACCACACACACAAACACACAAAUAAAACAGACAAACACCGCCACUCCCCAGUACCCCUGCUAUGGUGGCGAAGAGGCCCUCGUCGUCGUGGCCGAAAGCGAUGUCGACGCUGCUGACCGAUCCGGAGCUCCCGAACUACAGUGUUUCGGUGGCAAAGUCGUCGAUGGUGAAGGAGCCAUCGCCAUAGGAGACUUGGUAGAGGCACAAGUCAACUCGGGAGGCCGAGACCUAGAACGCUGCACCCUGAGUCGACUCGCACGAGAGAAUUUCAUACGUGGAUGACGCGAACGGAUUGAAAAUCUGGUCGAAUUGCUAGUAACAAUGCUCUCUCUCUCGUGGAGUGUUGAUGAUGGUGGUAUGGUGGCGGUGCCGACGGCGACGCGACGGCUGGGGAGUGUGGCGACGGUGCUGACGGCGGGGGGAUAGGGUUUGGGGAAGUGGGGGUGUUAUGGUUUUUGUUUCUAGGAGAUGGGAAAUUAGGGAAUGGGUAUUGAGUUUUUUUGAAAAAAUGGGUAUGGGUUUUCAUAGCCACGUGGCGCCAACAUGUCACUCAGAUGAUCUAUUCCGUCAAAAAAUAGACAGGAGUUAGUAAUUGGUUCUAAUUGAAAACGUUUUCAUAUGUUGAGGGGCUAAAGUGGAAGAAUUAUUUGUUCAAUUGCCAAAGUAGAAAUUGAUUAAUACUUUAAUGGGGAAAAGAGUUUUUAACACAUAAGUUUUGUAAUGCUUAGGUUAGGUCUUAUAUCUUGAAUUUGCCGAGGGAAAGAAAAGUAAUGAAAAGAAAGAUAUUCAAGUAUAUCCAAAAUUUACAUAUUUCUUUCUCUUCCUAACAUGACUCUUAUAUUGCAAGAAUAAGUUUUCAAAAUCCUUGUCAUGAGAGAGAGAGAGAGAGAAGAACAGACUAUUGAGAAGUACACCAAUAAGUUAACUAAGUGUCAAAGACAAUGCAUUUGCUGAAACUACAUUAAUUUGCCUCCAUGUAUUUUCUCCAACAUUUUGCACUGUCACUAAGAAAAAACAAAUAGUCAAGUUGCUAAUGCUUCUUAAACCACAGUUAUAGAUUGACUAUGGUUUCCUAAGGAUGCCGACAAGAUCAAACUACAUGCAUCUCUUCCCCCGGAAAAACUGCCACGGAGCUUUUUGUUGGGUAUUUAUUAUCGAAACAUGCUUGAUAAGGCGUAAAUAAAUAAUGUGAAUUAACAAUUUAUAUUCAAUAUUAUGUGUACAAAUAUGUAACCAACUUAAUUUACAAUAACUUAAAAAAAAUAUAUGAUGAUCAAGUCGAGUGUUCAACCUCUUUCCUUAUAUAGAUUUCGCCCCCCACACAGGUGCUCAUGGGUCUAACGGGUGUCAUCUCCCAAGAUAAAUGAUCACGACGUUGAAUCAGUUGCACUACAAUAUUCAGGUCCAACGGAUGUAAACUUUUAAUUCUACUCUCUCCAUGUACAAUAUGAAUAUGAUAUGAAAUGAUAAAUUAAGAAGAAUUUAUGUCAAAUUUCUACAGAAUUAUGCCUUUAACUUCUAUACAGAAACUCACAAUCGUUCUGUCAAUUAAUAUGGCAUGAUUUGGAUGACAUAUUUUCUACACAGAAAAUAUGUCUCCCCAACUGUAGAAUUUUAUAUACAGAAAAUUCAUACAGUAACACUAACUAAUAAAGAAUUUUCACCAGAAAUUUUUCACUUCACAUAUAAACAAAAUUAAAUUCUGUAAAUCAAAACGAAUUAAUUAACCGAACCUGGAACAGAAAAUCUGGAACCGUUGCUGAUUCGAUUAACAGGGGAGAGGAUAUAGAAAAAAGGGGAAGAGAGGGCGGUGGGAAGCGGGAGAGGGGGGGGAGGAGAAGAGGGGGACACGGGAUGGAUGAGUGGGGAGGGGGGAAUGUGGGAUGUUGGCCGGAGAAGGGAAGGAGGAGGGGGCUCUUUUCCAUCGCUUGAAAAUCCAAUCAUAAACUUCGUCAGAAUUUUCGUCGGAAUCUGGGCACACUUCUCAAGAGGAGACAGGAGAAGAAUAUGAAAUGCUGAAUUUUUCUUCCUUUUUCUAACUUAUUAAUCAAGUGGAAAAUAUUUCUAUUUAUAUAAAUAUUCGCACCCUUUCGAACUGGUACCACCAAACGCACCCUUAGUAAAAGUUUAACACCUCAUUCGAAUGGUUCCAGCCAUCGAUGCCUUAGGAGGGGUUACGAACCCUUCGCACCAAACAAGGCCUUAAUGGAAUUAUUAACGUUGGAAUUUUAAUUUUUUAAAUCAAAACAAAAAAUAAUUAUUAAAAAGACCCCAACUUUUUAAUAUUAUUA